CACAAUUUUAAUAUUGGUUCUGUUAAAAGCAAGGCUUUAAGUAUAAAAGAAAUGUUUGGUAAACAGUUAAUACAGUUACAUGGUAUGUCAGCAGAUAAAGCUAAAGCUGUUAUAGAUAAUUAUCCUACCCCCUCACAUUUAAUGGAAGCCUAUGAUAGAUGUAUAAGUACCAAAGAUAAAGAUGCGAUGUUGUCUGGUAUUAAAUGUGGGAAGUUAGUUAGAAAUCUUGGAAUUGCUCAAAGUCGACAGAUUUCGUCAUUGUAUUGUUCACAAACUCUAACUUAAUAUUUAAAGCUACUAUAGAUUGCACAUUGUUUCUCAUUUGUCAGUAAAAACAUUAGCCUUCGGAUGAGUAACUUAGUCCUAUCAAUAAACCAUAUUAUUAAAAGGGCAAGGCGACUGGACAGAGCCUUACCCUGGAUGGCCUGCUCUAAUACGGCUCCUACCUCACCCCUUUUCUCUCUGCCUGGUUAGUGAUGGGUGACUGCCUGGGAACACCUGGUGAACAAGGAGGGGCCAUGGCUCGCUUACCUAAAUGUCACGUGGCUCGCCUGCGAAUAUUAGUCUGGAUGGGUUGUCACUGUAGGCAUCUGAGAACAACUAGGUUAUUGGCUAGAUUAUCCGGUCUUUUACAUUACUAUAAACAAAAUCUAAGGGGGGUAACUCCCUAAAACAAGAUCUCGACGGCCAUGAAAUUAAUUUAAGAAUUGCCAUUUCUUUAUAAUAAAUCUAAACAAUAUAUUUUUACAAUGUUUUAUUAUUUAACAGCAGGCAAGAAAUGAGUUGAGAUGAAACAAAAAAAGGUCAAUGAACCAUGACACACAUGCAUGGGAAUAAUGUUUGUAUUCAGUUACACG